AAUUGCGGUCAUAUCCACGGAAAAGCACCGAAACUCAUUAGAUCUUCGAAGUUAAACCUGUGUGAGCUCAUUAAGUGCUAUGGUAGGCGAUCACAUGGGAAUAGUGUGAGUUGGUGAAUGUC
rfam:Anncaliia algerae PRA339 unplaced genomic scaffold supercont2.202, whole genome shotgun sequence.